rnacentral:rRNA from 1 species
AUUAGCUAGUUGGUGAGGUAACGGCUCACCAAGGCUGAGAUGGUUAGCUGGUCUGAGAGGAUGAUCAGCCACACUGGAACUGAGAUACGGUCCAGACUCCUACGGGAGGCAGCAGUGAGGAAUAUUGCGCAAUGGAGGCAACUCUGACGCAGCAACGCCGCGUGGUGAAGAAGGCUUUCGGGUUGUAAAGCCCUGUCAGGUGGGAAGAAACCUCUUCUAGUGAAUAGCUAGAGGAACUGACGGUACUACCAAAGGAAGCACCGGCUAACUCCGUGCCAGCAGCCGCGGUAAGACGGAGGGUGCAAGCGUUGUUCGGAAUCACUGGGCGUAAAGCGCGUGUAGGCGGUUCGAUAAGUCGAGUGUGAAAGCCCGAGGCUCAACUUCGGAAGUGCAUUCGAAACUGUCGAGCUUGAGUACGGGAGAGGGUAGUGGAAUUCCUGGUGUAGGAGUGAAAUCCGUAGAUAUCAGGAGGAACACCGGUGGCGAAGGCGGCUGCCUGGACCGAUAUUGACGCUGAGACGCGAAAGCGUGGGUAGCAAACAGGAUUAGAU